rnacentral:misc_RNA from 1 species
CUUUUUAGACUGCCGAGGAAAAACAUUGCCACACGAUUUCACAAGUCCAAUAAAACAUGCCUCAGAAUGAACAUAUCGAACUUCACAGGAAGCGUCAUGGAUACAGACUGGAUUAUCAUGAGAGAAAGUCAGAGAAAGAAGGAAGGGAGAAAAGCUCAUGAGAUGGCAGAAAAAGCCAAAAAGCUCAGAGGAAUAAGAGCUAAAUUAUACAACAAGAAACGACAUGCAGAAAAAGUUCAAAUGAAGAAAACAAUAAAGAUGCAUGAGGAAAGAAAAACAAAGCAGAAGAAUAAUGAUGAAGUACCAGAGGGAGCAGUACCUGCGUACUUGUUGGACCGGGAGGGUCAGAGUCGUGCCAAGGUCUUGUCAAACAUGAUCAAACAGAAACGCAAGGAGAAAGCUGGAAAAUGGGAUGUUCCAUUACCUAAAGUUAGAGGAAUGAGUGAAGCAGAAGUCUUCAAAGUUAUCAAAAGUGGCAAAACAAAACGAAAAGGCUGGAAAAGAAUGGUCACUAAAGUUUGCUAUGUGGGUGAAGGAUUCACAAGAAAACCACCCAAAUUUGAAAGAUUCAUUCGCCCAAUGGGCCUACGAUUCAACAAAGCACAUGUAACACAUCCAGAACUUAAAGCUACAUUUUGUUUACCCAUCAUCGGUGUGAAGAAAAAUCCAACAUCAACCAUGUACACAAGUUUGGGCGUCAUCACAAAAGGAACCAUCAUUGAGGUUAAUAUCAGCGAAUUAGGUCUUGUGACACAAGCUGGCAAAGUGAUAUGGGGUAAAUAUGCCCAGGUGACAAACAAUCCUGAAAACGAUGGAUGUAUCAACGCUGUACUAUUGGUGUAACUUUGCUUAUAAAUAAAACUCGGCAGUCAGCAUGUCUUAUUAUUGAUCAGCAACUUUUAAAAAAUUAUAAAACUACUCAUUUUUUUGGUUGAAAGCUCUCUUAUAUCUUUUAAAUAGAAAAAAGUUGGCAGAGGCAUCAGAAGGUACUUUAAACCAACUUUUAUUUGUAUGCGAAAAAUUUUGGUGAGGUUCGCAAGAGCCUCAUUGGCACGAAUAUGUCUCACCGUGGAACAGUAUUCUCUAUUUAGCUGUAAUGAAAAGAUAAGGUUUGGUUUGCAAAAAUUAGUCGCUGCAAACCAGUUUAUCUCAGGUAAAUUUCAAAAUAAAGUUGUUGCAAAUAAUAGUUGAUUUACAGUAUUCAACAUUGGGAAGACAAUUUAUUGCAAGAUCUAGAAGUUAAUGUUGGUUAUGGCAGGGGGAGUGAAAAAAGGCAUAAGGGGCAAAGUAUUGUUGUGUUCCUUCUUUGGAAGUAGACAUUCUGUGAUUUAAUAAAAAAAAAAAAAUGAUUCCAUACACUUUGCUUUGAUAGAGCUUGCAUUUGGCUUUAUAUGUUUUACUACAAUUUACAAAAAAGAGUAUGAUAUUUCUGAGAGAUAGCAGUAGUUAUAUAAUGUAUCUGGAAAAAAACCCAAACAAAUACAUGUGUCUUAUGUUAACCUAAACUCUUUAAGAAACAUUUUUCAUAUCGUAAAAUGAAUGCUUUUAUAAAAUCUAUGAUUAUAGAUAU